ACGCCGAUGCCUAAACGGUUAGCAUGCUUGCCUUCCAUCCACCUGGAAUCGUUUUCAGCAGGCGGUAGGUGUUCGAUUCACCUUUGGCGUA